rnacentral:rRNA from 1 species
GACGAACGCUGGCGGCGUGCUUAACACAUGCAGGUCGAACGGAAAGGCCCUGCUUGCAGGGUACUCGAGUGGCGAACGGGUGAGUAACACGUGGGUGAUCUGCCCUGCACUUCGGGAUAAGCCUGGGAAACUGGGUCUAAUACCGGAUAGGAGCCAUUUUUAGUGUGAUGGUUGGAAAGUUUUUUCGGUGUAGGAUGAGCUCGCGGCCUAUCAGCUUGUUGGUGGGGUAAUGGCCUACCAAGGCGGCGACGGGUAGCCGGCCUGAGAGGGUGGACGGCCACAUUGGGACUGAGAUACGGCCCAGACUCCUACGGGAGGCAGCAGUGGGGAAUAUUGCACAAUGGGCGCAAGCCUGAUGCAGCGACGCCGCGUGGGGGAUGACGGCCUUCGGGUUGGAAACUCCUUUCGCUAGGGACGAAGCUUUUUGUGACGGUACCUAGAUAAGAAGCACCGGCUAACUACGUG